GGGUUGUGAGGUUAAGCGACUAAGCGUACACGGUGGAUGCCCUGGCAGUCAGAGGCGAUGAAGGACGUGCUAAUCUGCGAAAAGCGCCGGCGAGGUGAUAUGAACCUUUGACCCGGCGAUGUCCGAAUGGGGAAACCCAGUGCAAUUCGUUGCACUAUCGUUAACUGAAUACAUAGGUUAACGAGGCGAACCGGGGGAACUGAAACAUCUAAGUACCCCGAGGAAAAGAAAUCAACCGAGAUUCCCCCAGUAGCGGCGAGCGAACGGGGAGCAGCCCAGAGUCUGAAUCAGCUUGUGUGUUAGUGGAAGCGUCUGGAAAGUCGCACGGUACAGGGUGACAGUCCCGUACACGAAAGCACACAGGUUGUGAACUCGAAGAGUAGGGCGGGACACGUGGUAUCCUGUCUGAAUAUGGGGGGACCAUCCUCCAAGGCUAAAUACUCCUGACUGACCGAUAGUGAACCAGUACCGUGAGGGAAAGGCGAAAAGAACCCCGGCGAGGGGAGUGAAAAAGAACCUGAAACCGUGUACGUACAAGCAGUGGGAGCACCUUCGUGGUGUGACUGCGUACCUUUUGUAUAAUGGGUCAGCGACUUAUAUUCUGUAGCAAGGUUAACCGUAUAGGGGAGCCGAAGGGAAACCGAGUCUUAACUGGGCGUUAAGUUGCAGGGUAUAGACCCGAAACCCGGUGAUCUAGCCAUGGGCAGGUUGAAGGUUGGGUAACACUAACUGGAGGACCGAACCGACUAAUGUUGAAAAAUUAGCGGAUGACUUGUGGCUGGGGGUGAAAGGCCAAUCAAACCGGGAGAUAGCUGGUUCUCCCCGAAAGCUAUUUAGGUAGCGCCUCGUGAACUCAUCUUCGGGGGUAGAGCACUGUUUCGGCUAGGGGGCCAUCCCGGCUUACCAACCCGAUGCAAACUACGAAUACCGAAGAAUGUUAUCACGGGAGACACACGGCGGGUGCUAACGUCCGUCGUGAAGAGGGAAACAACCCAGACCGCCAGCUAAGGUCCCAAAGUCAUGGUUAAGUGGGAAACGAUGUGGGAAGGCACAGACAGCCAGGAUGUUGGCUUAGAAGCAGCCAUCAUUUAAAGAAAGCGUAAUAGCUCACUGGUCGAGUCGGCCUGCGCGGAAGAUGUAACGGGGCUAAACCAUGCACCGAAGCUGCGGCAGCGACGCUUAUGCGUUGUUGGGUAGGGGAGCGUUCUGUAAGCCGUUGAAGGUGUCCUGUGAGGGGUGCUGGAGGUAUCAGAAGUGCGAAUGCUGACAUAAGUAACGAUAAAGCGGGUGAAAAGCCCGCUCGCCGGAAGACCAAGGGUUCCUGUCCAACGUUAAUCGGGGCAGGGUGAGUCGACCCCUAAGGCGAGGCCGAAAGGCGUAGUCGAUGGGAAACAGGUUAAUAUUCCUGUACUUGGUGUUACUGCGAAGGGGGGACGGAGAAGGCUAUGUUAGCCGGGCGACGGUUGUCCCGGUUUAAGCAUGUAGGCGGAACGAUUAGGUAAAUCCGGUCGUUUAUUAACGCUGAGGUGUGAUGACGAGGCACUACGGUGCUGAAGUAACAAAUGCCCUGCUUCCAGGAAAAGCCUCUAAGCAUCAGGUAACACGAAAUCGUACCCCAAACCGACACAGGUGGUCAGGUAGAGAAUACCAAGGCGCUUGAGAGAACUCGGGUGAAGGAACUAGGCAAAAUGGUGCCGUAACUUCGGGAGAAGGCACGCUGAUAUGUAGGUGAAGCCCCUGCGGGUGGAGCUGAAAUCAGUCGAAGAUACCAGCUGGCUGCAACUGUUUAUUAAAAACACAGCACUGUGCAAACACGAAAGUGGACGUAUACGGUGUGACGCCUGCCCGGUGCCGGAAGGUUAAUUGAUGGGGUUAGCGGCAACGCGAAGCUCUUGAUCGAAGCCCCGGUAAACGGCGGCCGUAACUAUAACGGUCCUAAGGUAGCGAAAUUCCUUGUCGGGUAAGUUCCGACCUGCACGAAUGGCGUAAUGAUGGCCAGGCUGUCUCCACCCGAGACUCAGUGAAAUUGAACUCGCUGUGAAGAUGCAGUGUACCCGCGGCAAGACGGAAAGACCCCGUGAACCUUUACUAUAGCUUGACACUGAACACUGGUCCUUGAUGUGUAGGAUAGGUGGGAGGCUUUGAAGCGUGGACGCCAGUCUGCGUGGAGCCGUCCUUGAAAUACCACCCUUUAAUGGCUGGUGUUCUAACGUAGACCCGUAAUCCGGGUUGCGGACAGUGUCUGGUGGGUAGUUUGACUGGGGCGGUCUCCUCCCAAAGAGUAACGGAGGAGCACGAAGGUUAGCUAAUCCUGGUCGGACAUCAGGAGGUUAGUGCAAUGGCAUAAGCUAGCUUGACUGCGAGAGUGACGGCUCGAGCAGGUGCGAAAGCAGGUCAUAGUGAUCCGGUGGUUCUGAAUGGAAGGGCCAUCGCUCAACGGAUAAAAGGUACUCCGGGGAUAACAGGCUGAUACCGCCCAAGAGUUCAUAUCGACGGCGGUGUUUGGCACCUCGAUGUCGGCUCAUCACAUCCUGGGGCUGAAGUAGGUCCCAAGGGUAUGGCUGUUCGCCAUUUAAAGUGGUACGCGAGCUGGGUUUAGAACGUCGUGAGACAGUUCGGUCCCUAUCUGCCGUGGGCGCUGGAGAAUUGAGGGGGGCUGCUCCUAGUACGAGAGGACCGGAGUGGACGCAUCACUGGUGUUCGGGUUGUCAUGCCAAUGGCACUGCCCGGUAGCUAAAUGCGGAAAAGAUAAGUGCUGAAAGCAUCUAAGCACGAAACUUGCCCCGAGAUGAGUUCUCCCUGACCCUUUAAGGGUCCUGAAGGAACGUUGAAGACGACGACGUUGAUAGGUCGGGUGUGUAAGCGCAGCGAUGCGUUGAGCUAACCGAUACUAAUGAACCGUGAGGCUUAACCUUACAACGCCGAAGCUGUU
rnacentral:rRNA from 1 species